GCGUAGAGCUGUCAGCCGCACCCACGCCGCACUUCCACCAAAGUUGCAAAGCAACGAGCAGACCUGUCAGAACCGUGAAGAUCCCGGCGACCGGAGAAAGGCAAAACCGCUCCGCGUGGGCUGCCCGGAGUGGCAUCGAGCCUUGUUCGAGCCCGAAGAGGUUCCCGCUACUCUAAGCCAGUUGAAGUGGUCCGAGUCUCCUGUUGUCCCAGCCGGACUGCGUCCUGACACCGAGUGGACUCUGCCCCAGGAGUGCGAGCAUCCUGAACGUUCAGGGCAUCCUGCCACACCCCCGCUCUUCGCCCGGUCCCUCACCCGCCAACGCCAGUCCAGGUGGUUGGGCUCAGAAUGGACUGUGAGCUUUCAGAAAAGGAAACCGAGGGAAGACUGAGGGCUGCCAGCCGAAUGAGUUGGCUGCUCCGCGGCUCGCACAAAGUCAAGCAAAUUAUCUUCUCACGUUGUGUCAGAUAUCAGCGGCCUGCUUACCUUACUCCUUUAAUCUGCGUUAUUCCUGAAAGUAGCAGUUGAAACAGAAAGUAGAUGCCUUCUACUGAAAAUGUGAUCCUCGGAGAAGGAAAGAAAGACAGAGGGGUUGAAUCUGAACACCGCGAGAAAGAGAAUCCAAGGUGAUCUGGGAGGCAUUGUCAAGAGCUCACUAGCUAUCUGUGUAAGACAGAAGCAUCCCAUGCAUCUUAAUAAAUUUUAUCUGACUGA